CACGAUAAUCUCAACAAUAAACCUCUUGAAAGUUGAUUUAAUUCUAUAUUUUAACAGUCGUCCGUGCUCAUUAUAAAAUCGAUGGUGGAAGGGGUUCCUUAUUCACAUGUAAUGCUUACUGUUAAUCGGGAGAAUCUCGACAAUAAACCACUUGUGAGCUUAUUUAAAAAUAAGUUAUUGGCAAAAUUCUUAAAUGAUCCUUAAUAACUGCUAAUUAUUUUGAAAAGCAAAAAAAAACUAUCUUUAACUGAAUGAGGACCAAAGAACGUUCUAUAUUGACCUCUCGCUCAAAUAUGUUUUUACUGUGGAAACAUACACUUUCUCAAGCAAUGGUAAAUGAACCGCGGCUGUAAACAGUGAAAAAAAAGAAAAGAAGCAGCAGCAAUUCUGUUGCUUUAGAUACAAGUGUUGGGUCAAUUCUAUUACUUUAGAUUUGCAGGUACCAAUCUACAUAAGUAAUUAGCAAUAUCAGACGAAAAUAUAAUCAUACGUACAGCACUGGAACAGCUUUAUCACGAGGCUCCUUGGAACUGCUCUCGCAACAAUUCGUAUUUCCUGAGUUCCGCCAUUGAUAGUGAAGGAGAUAGGUCUCCUAAGACCUUCAAGGUGUAAACACAAUAUUUCAGAGAUCAUUAUGCCAGAUUUGGCAGUUUCUUUGAACUAAGAUUCUUUAACGGACAUGUGUGGAAUACAGUAUUAUUACAUGAGUGG
rnacentral:lncRNA from 1 species